rnacentral:rRNA from 1 species
AUUGAACGCUGGUGGCAGGCUUAACACAUGCAAGUCGAGCGGGGUGAUGGUGCUUGCACUAUCACUUAGCGGCGGACGGGUGAGUAUGCUUAGGAAUCUGCCUAUUAGUGGGGGACAACAUCUCGAAAGGGAUGCUAAUACCGCAUACGUCCUACGGGAGAAAGCAGGGGAUCACUUGUGACCUUGCGCUAAUAGAUGAGCCUAAGUCGGAUUAGCUAGUUGGUGGGGUAAAGGCCUACCAAGGCGACGAUCUGUAGCGGGUCUGAGGGGAUGAUCCGCCACACUGGGACUGAGACAAGGCCCAGACUCCUACGGGAGGCAGCAGUGGGGAAUAUUGGACAAUGGGGGGAACCCUGAUCCAGCCAUGCCGCGUGUGUGAAGAAGGCCUUAUGGUUGUAAAGCACUUUAAGCGAGGAGGAGGCUCUUUUGGUUAAUACCCAAGAUGAGUGGACGUUACUCGCAGAAUAAGCACCGGCUGACUCUGUGCCAGCCGCCGCGGUAA